GCCCAUGAAAAACACAUGGGCAAAAGGGUGUCCAAAAUCUGCCAAGAUUCAAGACACCAACAAUGAGGUCUCACAUGCUGUAUAUCCUCACAGCCAAGCUUGAUCCUUACAUACUGCAGUAGUAGGUAAGAAGGAGGAUUUCUGCUCAAUAUAUAAGGCCUAUCUAUAAGGCAUACUCCACAGCUGCACCUUAGCAUGCAAGCUGCUCCCAAGUAGUUCGGGACCUCAGCCAGA